rnacentral:tRNA from 1 species
UAGAAUAUAGUGUAACAUAGGUAGCACGAAGAUUUUUGAAUUCUUAAGAGCAGGUUCAAUUCCUGUAAUUCUAG